rnacentral:tRNA from 1 species
GAGGUUGUAGCUCAGUGGUUGAGUACUUGCCUAGCACGUGUGAGGCACUGGGUUCAAUUCUCAGCACCACA